AUUGAACGCUGGCGGCAGGCCUAACACAUGCAAGUCGAACGGAAACAGGAGACAGCUUGCUGUUUCGCUGACGAGUGGCGGGCGGGUGAGCAAUGUCUGGGAAAUUGCUUGAUGGAGGGGGUUAACUACUGGAAACGGUAGCUAAUGCCGAAUAACGUUGCAAGACAAAAGAGGGGGACUUUCGGGCCUCUUGCCAUCGGAUGAGCGCAGAUGGGAUUAGCUAGUAGGUGGGGUAACGGGUCACCUAGGCGCCGAUCCCUAGCUGGUCUGAGAGGCUGACCAGCCACACGGGAACUGAGACAGGGUCCAGACUCCUACGGUAGGCAGCAGUGGGGAAUAUUGCGCAAUGGGCGAAAGCCUGAUGCAGCGAUGCCGCGUGUAGGAUGAAGGCGUUCGGGUUGUAAAAUACUGUCAGUGUGGAUGAAGUGAGUAAAUUUAAUACCUUUGCACAUUGACGUUACCCGCAGAAGAAGCACCGGCUAACUCCGUG
rnacentral:rRNA from 1 species